UCUUUUGAUUGAUGCCGUCUUUGUUGCCACAUAUAAUGCAACCUGCAUUGAGAAACCCAUUGAUCGAUCAGAGAAUGUCAAUGAAUAGAGUCUAGCUGCUCUCAAUAUUAAGUUACCCAGCUGAUUGGCCAUUAAGGUGAAUGUUACGAACAGAAACCGAGAAGCCAAAAAUGGCAGACAAAGAAGGGAAGGAAUAGAGAUUCCAGAGAGAAGAAGAGUUUGAGAAGAAGGAAGAAGAAUCAACAGAAAAGAGAGAGAGAGAGAAUAAUUCCUCAACAAUUUUCAUUAACCACUCAAUUACCUCAGCCAAAAGCAGAACAUCAUAUAUAAGGGAAGAUAACAGCAAAAAGAAAAUUGUUGGAUGAAACGCUCCAUAUCAUCGAGAUGUCAAAACACAUCGUUUUGCUUGGUAUUCAUUUCGGUUCGUACCAGUGAAGUAGAUAAAAUAUGAUGCCUUUUGAAACAAGAAAACAAGAUAAUUAUAUGUAGCUAAUUUCUGAUAACUUAGCAGGACAAACGGACUGCUUAAACGGCCUAUACAGAUUCCUUGUGAAAAACUUUGUUUCAGAAUCACUAUAUGUUAACAAAUCAGGUUGUUUGUAGGUAGAA